rnacentral:lncRNA from 1 species
CUGGAGCUCUUUGAUAAAGCAGCCCUAAACGUGCUGCAGCCUCCAGAGUUUAGAAAUGAAAAAAUUUUAUCUUUAGCUUCAACCUUGAAGACACUUCUGUUCUUUAAAGCUUUAAGGAUCACAGUUCCUAUCUGGCUAUUUUACAAUGAAAUCUUAUAUUUGAAGAUGCUGUUGGAAUGUCCAAUAGAGACAGCUAUUUUUAUGCUGCAAUUAUUGCUGUUCACGUGGUUCUGGCCCUGUUUGUCUAUGUGGCCUGGAAUGAAGGCUCAUGGUGGCAUGGAGGCAAACAGGACUAA